GAGUUUGAUCAUGGCUCAAGAUGAACGCUAGCUACAGGCUUAACACAUGCAAGUCGAGGGGAAACGACAUCGAAAGCUUGCUUUUGAUGGGCGUCGACCGGCGCACGGGUGAGUAACGCGUAUCCAACCUGCCCACCACUUGGGGAUAACCUUGCGAAAGUAAGACUAAUACCCAAUGACGUCUCUAGAAGACAUCUGAAAGAGAUUAAAGAUUUAUCGGUGAUGGAUGGGGAUGCGUCUGAUUAGCUUGUUGGCGGGGUAACGGCCCGCCAAGGCUACGAUCAGUAGGGGUUCUGAGAGGAAGGUCCCCCACAUUGGAACUGAGACACGGUCCAAACUCCUACGGGAGGGA
rnacentral:rRNA from 1 species